CUGAAACAAGAGAGGAAACCGCCACUGUCUGGCCAAACUGUCUCAUCUUGCAGUAGGAAUACUGUGUACUCCUCUGCCUUGUGAUCUCCACCAUUGAGUCCUAGUCUUCCAGCCACUGGGGAAUGAAAGCAAGGGUAUCCUUAGACCUUGGCUCUCCUUAGACCACCUUUCUGCCUCCUGAUGUUCUACUUGUAUGAGGAAGGUGCCAUUAAAUUCAAACCAAGAUACCAUAAGGUUAAGAGGUGUACCAUUACCUUAUGCCUAUGCUUCUUACCCAGUGGCACCAGCAGAUACAGCCAAGCAUACAUCAAUCCCACGGGUUUGGAAUGCUGCUGAGAUAAGGAGCCAGUAUCUCAGCCAACCACCUGAGAGGUCUCAAAUUCAGUGGUUAUGUCCAGCCAAGCCUCUGAAUGACAGUGCUGACCCAGAAGUCAUCCUGAGAGUUUUCUUAGCAGCGUCAACAAAGCCAUCUCAAAGCAGCUAUGCAAGAUCUUACAGGAUUCUUUAGGAUCCCUAGAGCAGGACCAGUCAUAUGUCCCAGUCAUUGGAGGACUAUGGACUGAAAGCAAGGCUGACCCAUUUAGAAAGUUUGCCCCUCCCCAGUACUGAUGAUCUAGACAAUCCCUCCAUGUUCAGCUACACUGGAUAUGCAAGCUGCCUAACAGCUGCAGCACAAUCAGAAGUCCAGGAACAUAGGAAAUGUUUUCUGCAUCUAAAAAGUCUGAACCUUGAAGCAUAAUUAAAUCUUUCUUUAAAUGGAAAGCCAAACAAUGGCAUUUUUCUUUGAAGCAGAUCAUAGUCAAAUAGCUUUUAGUUGUAAGUAUAGCAGUACUUUAAAUCAAUCACUGCAGCCUUUAAACUGAAAAUACCCUAGAAACACCUCUGUGUUUGACAUCUGUAACAAAAUGAAUGCCUGGUUAGCAUUCUUCCUGCCACAAAUUCCAUCAGUUCUUCUUUUUCCAUCUGGCUAAAGUUAUGUAGAAGUUCGUUCAUUGCAUAAAAACAGUAGUCUGUUGACCCAGUACAUGUCAGGAACUGAUUUCUUUUCCAUUUAUGAAUCUUUUAGUGACAUAAUAAACAGAUUGAAUGUAUGUUCCAGACAACUAUAUUAGAAGCAGUAUUUUGUGUGGAUUCAUGGUCUGGUAAAGAGGAAUAUGAGGAAAGUCACCAUUAUUUAGGAUAGCCAAAUCCAGGAAGACAUCAAAGAAUAUCAGAAA